CUACGGGCCGCAGCAGUGAGGAAUAUUGCACAAUGGGGGGAACCCUGAUGCAGCAACGCCGCGUGGAGGAUGACGCAUUUCGGUGUGUAAACUCCUUUUAUAUGUCAAGAAAAUGACGGUAGCAUAUGAAUAAGCACCGGCUAACUCCGUGCCAGCAGCCGCGGUAAUACGGAGGGUGCAAGCGUUACUCGGAAUCACUGGGCGUAAAGGACGCGUAGGCGGGUUGGAAAGUCAGGUGUGAAAUCCUAGAGCUCAACUGUAGAACUGCACUUGAAACUUCUAAUCUAGAGUAUGGGAGGGGGGGAUGGAAUUAGUGGUGUAGGGGUAAAAUCCGUAGAUAUCACUAGGAAUACCUAAAGCGAAGGCGAUCUCCUGGAACAUUACUGACACUAAGGCGUGAAAGCGUGGGGAGCAAACAGGAUUAGAUACCCGAGUAGUC
rnacentral:rRNA from 1 species